rnacentral:lncRNA from 1 species
GAGAGGCCAAACAGCGCCCACAUGCGCCCCCACAGCCAUGUUAGGGACAGGAGGAGAACCUCGCCCUAACAUGAGCAAAGUCGAAGGCCCGGUUCUCCUUACACCGGAUGGGGGGAGAGGCCCUGCAAUGCCCGCAUGUGCCCCCACAGCCAUAUUAGGGACAGGAGGAGAACCUCGCUCUAACAUGAGCAAAGUCGAAGGCCCGGUUACACUC